rnacentral:misc_RNA from 1 species
GAUGAAGAACGCAGUGAAAUGCGAUACGUAGUGUGAAUUGCAGAAUUCAGUGAAUCAUCGAAUCUUUGAACGCACAUUGCACCUCUCGGUAUUCCGGGAGGUAUGCCUGUUCGAGCGUCAUUUGUACCCUCAAGCUCUGCUUGGUGUUGGGUGUUUGUUCCGCCUCUGUGUGUGAACUCGCCUCAAAACAAUUGGCAGCCGGCGUACUUGUUUCGGAGCGCAGCACAUUUUGCGAUCCAGAUCAACGUACAGCGGCAUCCAAGAAGCCUUAUUUAACGCUCUUGACCUCGGAUCAGGUAGGGAUACCCGCUGAACUUAAGCAUAUCAAUAAGCGGAGGA